UACAGAGGGUGCGAGCGUUGUCCGGAAUCACUGGGCGUAAAGGGCGCGUAGGUGGCCUGAUAAGUAGGGGGUGAAAUCUCGAGGCUCAACUUCGAGGCUGCCUCCUAAACUGUCAGGCUUGAGCAGAGUAGAGGCAGGUGGAAUUCCCGGUGUAGCGGUGGAAUGCGUAGAUAUCCGAAGGAACAUCAGUGGCGAAAGCGGCUUCCUGGACCAGAACUGACGAUCAGGCACGAAAGCGUGGGGAGCAAACAGGG
rnacentral:rRNA from 1 species